UACGUAGGUGGCAAGCGUUGUCCGGAUUUACUGGGCGUAAAGAGCGCGCAGGCGGUCGUCCAAGUCGCGUGUGAAAGCCCCCGGCUCAACUGGGGAGGGUCACGCGAUACUGGUCGACUCGAAGGCAGGAGAGGGUAGUGGAAUUCCCGGUGUAGUGGUGAAAUGCGCAGAUAUCGGGAGGAACACCUAUGGCGAAGGCAGCUCGCUGGGACGUUACUGACGCUGAGACGCGAAAGCGUGGGGAGCAAGCAGG
rnacentral:rRNA from 1 species